rnacentral:rRNA from 1 species
AUUGAACGCUGGCGGCAGGCCUAACACAUGCAAGUCGAGCGGAACGGCGGACGGGUGAGUAAUGCCUAGGAAUCUGCCUGGUCGUGGGGGAUAACGUCCGGCAGCGGGCGCUAAUACAGCAUACUAUCAGAUGAACCUAGGUGGGAUUAGCUAGUUGGUGGGGUAAAGGCCUACCAAGGCGACGAUCCGUAACUGGUCUGAGAGGAUGAACAGUCACACUGGAACUGAGACACGGUCCAGACUCCUACGGGAGGCAGCAGUGGGGAAUAUUGGACAAUGGGCGAAAGCCUGAUCCAGCCAUGCCGCGUGUGUGAAGAAGGUCUUCGGAUUGUAAAGUACUUUAAGUUGGGAGGCGUUACCAACAGAAGAAGCACCGGCUAACUCCGUGCCAGCAGCCGCGGUAAUAC